rnacentral:rRNA from 1 species
UACGAAGGGUGCAAGCGUUAAUCGGAAUUACUGGGCGUAAAGCGUGCGCAGGCGGUUUUGUCAGCCGGAUGUGAAAUCCCCGGGCUUAACCUGGGAAUGGCAUUCGGGACUGCAAGGCUGGAGUGCGGCAGAGGAGACUGGAAUUCCUGGUGUAGCAGUGAAAUGCGUAGAUAUCAGGAGGAACACCGAUGGCGAAGGCAGGUCUCUGGGCUGACACUGACGCUCAUGCACGAAAGCGUGGGGAGCAAACAGG